rnacentral:rRNA from 1 species
UACGGGGGGGGUAAGCGUUGUUCGGAAUUACUGGGCGUAAAGGGCUCGUAGGCGGCCAACUAAGUCAGACGUGAAAUCCCUCAGCUUAACUGGGGAACUGCGUCUGAUACUGGAUGGCUUGGAUCCGGAAGAGGGAUGCGGAAUUCCAGGUGUAGCGGUGAAAUGCGUAGAUAUCUGGAGGAACACCGGUGGCGAAGGCGGCAUCCUGGACCGGCAUUGACGCUGAGGCGCGAAAGCUAGGGGAGCAAACGGG